rnacentral:lncRNA from 1 species
AAAAGCCUCUUAACUUCAGUUCGAAAUUUUUCUCAAAUCUGAUCCCAAAAUUUAUUGUCCCCAUUGUACAUCUCAAAACUCUUUUUUUUUUUUCAACACCAAAAUGCUUAUGGUUGGACUAUUAAUGAACCUUGAAUGUAAACUUGCGGUGUACAUGAAAUCCGAUCUUGAAGUGGUAAGAUAAAGCAAGCUUUCAAUCAAGCUUCUGUAAAAAGUUUCCUCCACUUUCUUUUCUCAAGUCAUCCUUUAUCAAUCUCAUUAGAAACAAGCCGAUUUUCAACACUUUACACCCAAACAUUCUUAAAUUUUUAAGCACUUUUCAGCAUACUUCAUUUGAGAAAUAAAUAUUCCAUUUCCAUCUUGAUAUAUUUCCAUAUCAAGGAAAUGAUGUAGCAGUCUCAAACCAUUCAUUUCAUAUCUUUUCACUAUGUCAACUUUAAAUUCUUCAAUCAUUUUUGCUUUGUUUCUGGUAAGCACCAAAUCAUCAACAUAUAAUACAACAAUGAGUAUAUCGAUGUUACCUCGAUGUUUCACGUACAAGAUUGGCUCACUUUUGCUUUUGACAAAUCCAUGUUGCUGAAAAUAGUCAUCAAUUUGACUAUACCAAGUCCUUGAUGCUUGUUUGAGUCCGUAAAAAAUCCUUUUUAGCUUAUACCCCGUCUUCUUCUUCCUUUGCAACAAAACCUUGGGGUUGUUCAAUAUACACAUCAAGUUGGUACAUUAACCAUUCUUUUUGGGCUGCAAGAGAUAUGAGUUCUCUUAUGGGUCUAGGCGAGCAACCGGAGCAAAAGUUUCAUCACAAUUGAUCCAGGGCUGUUGUGUAUAACCUUUCACGGCUAAUCUUGCUUUAUUUCUCUUCAAUAAUCCAUCUGAAUUAUGCUUCAUCUUGGAGACCCAUUUUACACCUAUCACAUCUUUCCUUCUUGUAGACCCAAGUUUUGUUUUUCUCAAUAACUUUUAUCUCUUCCUCCAUUGCUUCUUUCCAACACUCCUCCUUUUUGGCUUCUUCAAAAUUUUUGGGUUCAACUAUACAAAAAUUGUAUAUUGCAUAAACAUCAUUUAAAUUUCACAUUUUUCUUGGAGUUGAGUUUGGUGAUCAUGAACUAGAACUAGAGAAACU